rnacentral:rRNA from 1 species
UACAGAGGGGGCAAGCGUUGUUCGGAAUUACUGGGCGUAAAGGGCGCGUAGGCGGCCCGCUAAGUCGAACGUGAAAUCCCCCGAGCUCAACUCGGGAACUGCGUCCGAUACUGGCGGGCUUGAAUCCGGGAGAGGGAUGCGGAAUUCCAGGUGUAGCGGUGAAAUGCGUAGAUAUCAGGAAGAACACCAAUGGCGAAGGCAGCUCGCUGGGACGGUACUGACGCUGAGACGCGAAAGCGUGGGGAGCAAACAGG